rnacentral:rRNA from 1 species
CAGCCGCCGCGGGAAUACGGAGGGUGCAAGCGUUAAUCGGAAUUACUGGGCGUAAAGCGCACGCAGGCGGUUUGUUAAGUCAGAUAUGAAAUCCCCGAGCUUAACUUGGGAACUGCAUUUGAAACUGGCAAGCUAGAGUCUUGUAGAGGGGGGUAGAAUUCCAGGUGUAGCGGUGAAAUGCGUAGAGAUCUGGAGGAAUACCGGUGGCGAAGGCGGCCCCCUGGACAAAGACUGACGCUCAGGUGCGAAAGCGUGGGGAGCAAACAGGAUUAGAUACCCGGGUAGUCCCUGUCUCUUAUAC